AGACCCGAAACCCGGUGAUCUAGCCAUGGGCAGGUUGAAGGUUGGGUAACACUAACUGGAGGACCGAACCGACUAAUGUUGAAAAAUUAGCGGAUGACCUGUGGCUGGGGGUGAAAGGCCAAUCAAACCGGGAGAUAGCUGGUUCUCCCCGAAAGCUAUUUAGGUAGCGCCUCGUGAAUUCAUCUCCGGGGGUAGAGCACUGUUUCGGCUAGGGGGCCAUCCCGGCUUACCAACCCGAUGCAAACUGCGAAUACCGGAGAAUGUUAUCACGGGAGACACACGGCGGGUGCUAACGUCCGUCGUGAAGAGGGAAACAACCCAGACCGCCAGCUAAGGUCCCAAAGUCAUGGUUAAGUGGGAAACGAUGUGGGAAGGCCCAGACAGCCAGGAUGUUGGCUUAGAAGCAGCCAUCAUUUAAAGAAAGCGUAAUAGCUCACUGGUCGAGUCGGCCUGCGCGGAAGAUGUAACGGGGCUAAACCAUGCACCGAAGCUGCGGCAGCGAACGUAUCACUUAAAGCGAUUCAGCGGGUUACGAUUGACGGAGCGAAGCGACGUCAAAGCGUAUACAAAGUCGAGUCGGUUUAAGGAUACGUUCGUUGGGUAGGGGAGCGUUCUGUAAGCCUGUGAAGGUGGCCUGUGAGGGUUGCUGGAGGUAUCAGAAGUGCGAAUGCUGACAUAAGUAACGAUAAAGCGGGUGAAAAGCCCGCUCGCCGGAAGACCAAGGGUUCCUGUCCAACGUUAAUCGGGGCAGGGUGAGUCGACCCCUAAGGCGAGGCCGAAAGGCGUAGUCGAUGGGAAACAGGUUAAUAUUCCUGUACUUGGUGUUACUGCGAAGGGGGGACGGAGAAGGCUAUGUUGGCCGGGCGACGGUUGUCCCGGUUUAAGCGUGUAGGCUGGUUUUCCAGGCAA
rnacentral:rRNA from 1 species